rnacentral:ncRNA from 6 species
CGGCUCUGGGUCUGUGGGGAGC